rnacentral:lncRNA from 1 species
AGCACAUCCGUUUUCCUUACAGUAUGUAGUACGCAUUCUACCUUUUCCUACAAUGAAUCCACCAGCAGAAAUUCCUGUACACAUCUUAUCAACAAAGAAUUUGAACCUCAAAGAGUGGCUCAAAGAGGUCAGGAGGCACCUUCAACACUUUUAUUGGAGAUCUCCUUGUCUAGAUCAUCAGGUUUGUCAGAUUCUCACUGUGUUACCUAGGCUGCAGUGCAGUGGUGCGAUCUCAACUCACUGCAACCUCUACCUCCUGGGUUCAAGCAAUUCUCCUGCCUCAGCCUCCCAAGUAGCUGGGAUUACAGGUGAGGAGACUGGUGUUAAGUAACUCGCCCAUCCAUGACCGCAUCAGUGGUUGAAAUGGGAUUGGAAUCUGGUCUUAAUCACUCUUCCAUAAUGCCUCCAUGGCAAGGGUGGCAGAGAGGAAGAAUUAUGCUGAGGAAGUAGAACUGACUAGAAGUCAUGAACAAUGCUUGGUGAUUAGAUUCUAGAAUGGACGAAUAAGGCUCUGCUUUGCUCCCAAGCUUCUGUGUCAGUAAUGGCUUCAUUCAUCUACACAGGGAACAGAGGAUGGAGAGGUGAUGUCUUCA